rnacentral:rRNA from 1 species
UACAGAGGCCCCAAGCAUUAUCCGGAAUCACUGGGCGUAAAGGGUGUCAAGGCGGUUAUGUUAGUCGUUCGUAAAAUCCAGGAGCUCAACUUCUGGCCCGCGAGCGAAACGGCAUAACUAGAGGGUGGGAGAGGUGCGUGGAACUCACGGUGUAGGGGUGAAAUCCGUUGAUAUCGUGGGGAACACCAAAGGCGAAGGCAGCGCACUGGCCCAUUCCUGACGCUCACACACGAAAGCCAGGGUAGCGAACGGG